GACUUUGAGUUUGGGUCGGACAUAUGUGUGAUGAUGUCCGAUGACCUUUAGUUCAGUUUGUCUUGGAAAUAAGUCUGAAUGACGCAAAUCAACUUCAGCACAAUAUAUUAAUUCUGAACUAAAUGUUAUGAAGAUAUUUAAAUAGUUUGUGUCAUUCAAUCAUACUUAUUUCCAAGUCAAGAUUAACUUGCUUGCCAAUAAUAGCAGUACGACUUCGACAACUUAAGCACGUUUUCCAACAUUUCCGGUUCAUUUUUGUACAAUACUCUGUUUCUCCAUUAUAACAUACGAGCUUCUAGUACUGGACUAGGGUACAUUUUGAUUUACGUGCGUGGAGAAAGCGUCGGACAAAGCUACAGUUCGGUCAGACACCAAUUCAUUCGGGUCGGACACAUAAUAAACUUCAGUUUCAUUUAGGUCGGACAGAAUGUCCGGUGGUUUCCUCUCUACGUCGGACAAUUGGACGAAUGGGUCGGACAAUGUCCGUGACCGACCGAUAUUUUAUGGC